UACGGAGGGGGCUAGCGUUGUUCGGAAUUACUGGGCGUAAAGCGCACGUAGGCGGCUUUACAAGUCAGAGGUGAAAGCCCGGGGCUCAACUCCGGAAUUGCCUUUGAGACUGUAUCGCUUGAAUCAUGGAGAGGCGGGUGGAAUUCCGAGUGUAGAGGUGAAAUUCGUAGAUAUUCGGAAGAACACCAGUGGCGAAGGCGGCCCGCUGGACAUGUAUUGACGCUGAGGUGCGAAAGCGUGGGGAGCAAACAGG
rnacentral:rRNA from 1 species